rnacentral:rRNA from 1 species
GAUGAACGCUAGCGGCAGGCUUAAUACAUGCAAGUCGUGGGGCAGCAUGAGUGUAGCAAUACAUUUGAUGGCGACCGGCAAACGGGUGCGGAACACGUACACAACCUUCCUAUAAGUGGGGAAUAGCCCAGAGAAAUUUGGAUUAAUACUCCGUAACAUAACGAUGUGGCAUCACAUUGUUAUUAUAGCUUCGGCGCUUAUUGAUGGGUGUGCGGCUGAUUAGAUAGUUGGCGGGGUAACGGCCCACCAAGUCUACGAUCAGUAGCUGAUGUGAGAGCAUGAUCAGCCACACGGGCACUGAGACACGGGUCCGACUCCUACGGGAGGCAGCAGUAAGGAAUAUUGGUCAAUGGACGCAAGUCUGAACCAGCCAUGCCGCGUGAAGGAUUAAGGUCCUCUGGAUUGUAAACUUCUUUUAUCUGGGACGAAAAAAGGCUUUUCUAAGUCACUUGACGGUACCAGAUGAAUAAGCACCGGCUAACUCCGUGCCAGCCGCCGCGGUAAAAC